UGUUGGUCUUGUCUAACUUUUGAUAAGAGA
rnacentral:piRNA from 2 species